rnacentral:rRNA from 1 species
AAUGAACGUUGGCGGCGUGGAUUAGGCAUGCAAGUCGAACGAGAACCCCGCAAGGGGUGAAAGUGGCAAACGGCGUAGUAAGGCGUAGGUGACGUACCUCCCGAUUCAGGAUAGCUACGGGAAACUGUAGGUAAUACUGGAUAACCCCUCCGAGAUUGAAAAUCGGAGUGCAAAGGUGUGAUUCCGUCAGGAGAGCGGCUUACGUGGUAUUAGCUAGUUGGUGAGGUAAUGGCUCACCAAGGCUUCGAUGCCUAGGGGUGUUAGCGCAUGACCCCCACGACUGGGACUGAGAUACUGCCCAGACACCUACGGGUGGCUGCAGUCGAGGAUCUUCGGCAAUGGGCGCAAGCCUGACCGAGCGACGCCGCGUGUGGGAUGAAGGCCCUUGGGUUGUAAACCACUGUCAGAGGGGAUGAAAUGCGGGUGGGUUCUCCCAUCCGUUUGACAUAGCCUCAGAGAAGCACGGGCUAAGUUCGUGCCAGCAGCCGCGGUAAU